UACGAAGGGGGCUAGCGUUGCUCGGAAUCACUGGGCGUAAAGGGUGCGUAGGCGGGUCUUUUAAGUCAGGGGUGAAAUCCUGGAGCUCAACUCCAGAACUGCCUUUGAUACUGAAGAUCUUGAGUUCGGGAGAGGUGAGUGGAACUGCGAGUGUAGAGGUGAAAUUCGUAGAUAUUCGCAAGAACACCAGUGGCGAAGGCGGCUCACUGGCCCGAUACUGACGCUGAUGUGCGAAAGCGUGGGGAGCAAACAGGG
rnacentral:rRNA from 1 species